rnacentral:rRNA from 1 species
UACGUAGGGUGCAAGCGUUAAUCGGAAUUACUGGGCGUAAAGCGUGCGCAGGCGGCUAUGCAAGACAGAUGUGAAAUCCCCGGGCUUAACCUGGGAACUGCAUUUGUGACUGCAUGGCUAGAGUACGGCAGAGGGGGAUGGAAUUCCGCGUGUAGCAGUGAAAUGCGUAGAUAUGCGGAGGAACACCGAUGGCGAAGGCAAUCCCCUGGGCCUGUACUGACGCUCAUGCACGAAAGCGUGGGGAGCAAACAGG